AUGCACGCUGGCGGCGUGCCUAAUACAUGCAAGUCGAGCGAACAGACGAGGAGCUUGCUCCUCUGACGUUAGCGGCGGACGGGUGAGUAACACGUGGAUAACCUACCUAUAAGACUGGGAUAACUUCGGGAAACCGGAGCUAAUACCGGAUAAUAUAUUGAACCGCAUGGUUCAAUAGUGAAAGACGGUUUUGCUGUCACUUAUAGAUGGAUCCGCGCCGCAUUAGCUAGUUGGUAAGGUAACGGCUUACCAAGGCAGCGAUGCGUAGCCGACCUGAGAGGGUGAUCGGCCACACUGGAACUGAGACACGGUCCAGACUCCUACGGGAGGCAGCAGUAGGGAAUCUUCCGCAAUGGGCGAAAGCCUGACGGAGCAACGCCGCGUGAGUGAUGAAGGUCUUCGGAUCGUAAAACUCUGUUAUUAGGGAAGAACAAAUGUGUAAGUAACUAUGCACGUCUUGACGGUACCUAAUCAGAAAGCCACGGCUAACUACGUG
rnacentral:rRNA from 1 species